rnacentral:rRNA from 2 species
UGCCUGUGAGACUGGGAUAACUUCGGGAAACCGGAGCUAAUACCGGAUAAUAUAAGGAACCUCCUGGUUCUUUAUUGAAAGAUGGUUUCGGCUAUCACUCACAGAUGGGCCCGCGGCGCAUUAGCUAGUUGGUGAGGUAACGGCUCACCAAGGCGACGAUGCGUAGCCGACCUGAGAGGGUGAUCGGCCACACUGGGACUGAGACACGGCCCAGACUCCUACGGGAGGCAGCAGUAGGGAAUCUUCCACAAUGGACGAAAGUCUGAUGGAGCAACGCCGCGUGAGCGAUGAAGGCCUUCGGGUCGUAAAGCUCUGUUGUUAGGGAAGAACAAGUGCGAGAGUAACUGCUCGCACCUUGACGGUACCUAACCAGAAAGCCACGGCUAACUACGUGCCAGCAGCCGCGGUAAUACGUAGGUGGCAAGCGUUGUCCGGAAUUAUUGGGCGUAAAGCGCGCGCAGGUGGUCCUUUAAGUUUGAUGUGAAAGCCCACGGCUCAACCGUGGAGGGUCAUUGGAAACUGGGGGACUUGAGUGCAGAAGAGGAAAGUGGAAUUCCAAGUGUAGCGGUGAAAUGCGUAGAGAUUUGGAGGAACACCAGUGGCGAAGGGCGACUUUCUGGUCUGUAACUGACACUGAGGCGCGAAAGCGUGGGGAGCAAACAGGAUUAGAUACCCUG